CGCCUGGGCCACGCUGGCUUCACUAGCUCUCCCUUUACUAGCUUUCUCUGGCAGGCCGUAACCCGGAAGUUGCCUGAAACACUUCUGCUCACAUCGGCUGACCUGAGUUCAGCCUUUGGCCACGGAGCUGCAGGGAAAGCCAGAAACAGAGUCUCUGGAUGGCUGGCCACGUUCCCAAGUAAAACUUGGGGACAGAAUCAAUUAGCAGUCCAUGCACAGUCCCCUCGGCUGCCCUGCGUCCACGCGGUGUGUCAGCUCACUCGUCUCCUCUAUUAAAUUUUGCUCUCACGUGGUAUCUCUAGUCCGCCUUCUAGGGGUUGUGGCAAAUAUGUACUGCUUCUCGAAAGAUUUAGUAAGUGUAACCCUUACUCCUAAAAUUAUAACUUCCAUGGCCCAGAUCUCGACUACCGGUGAGCACAAAUAUUCACUCAUUCACUCAUUCAUUCCUCAGCUGCUUACUGACCACCUGAACUAGGGGAGGACAGAGCCCACAGAGAGCUGAAGGAGGAGGACACCAGGCGGCGGGAGCAGGACGCGAGAGUGCCUGGAGGGGUUCAGGACUGGUGUGGCUGCUGAGGAGCGAGUGAUGGGCUGGAGAUGACUUUGGAAAGGUGCUGGGAGACCAGAGCAUGGAGGGCCUCGAAGGCCAUUGUCAACUCAAAACCCUUCACUCUGGUUUUCCUGGGAAGCCUUUGGAGGGUUUGAGCAGAGCAGUGACUUGAUUGAUUUAUCUUCUCAGAGGACCAUCUGGUUGCCAUGUCGAGGACUGACUGCAGGUUGCAAGGAUGCAAAUACAGAGACCAGCCAGGAGGCUACUGCACUGAUCUGGGCAGGAGGUAUGGUAGCCUGGACCAGGGCCGUAGCAGAGGAAGGUCAGAAUCUGGCUAUGUUGAAGAGAGAGCUUAUAGGGAUUGCUGAUUGUUUAGAUAUCGGGUUUGAGAGAAAGAGAUGAGUCAAGGAUGACUCCUAGAGUUUUAGUCUGAGCACCGAACUACAAGGAUAGAAGUACUAUCGGUUGAAGUGGGGAACAUUGUGGGAGGAGCAUACUGGGGGAGAAAGACCAGAGAUUGCGGUUUGGGCACACUAUAUAUGAGAUGUUUAUUAAAUAUCCAAAUGGAGGCAUUAAGAAGGCCAUUGAAUAUGUGAGUCUGGAGUUCAGGGGAGAGGUUCAGGCUGGAGAAGUAAAUCCAGAUAAAUUGGGGAAGGGUUAGCAUCUUGGUGGCAUUCUGAGUCUGGAGCUGGACAUGCCACAAGCUAGACAUGUGGUGCAAUUGUACUUCGUGGUCCCCUGCAACGGGGUGGGACCAGGUCUGCUUCUGACCUUUGACCGCUGAGUAGAAACAGUGUGGACCAUUCCCAGGCCCACGUUCUGUGCUACCGAGCCCGGCAACCCCUCAGCUGCUCUGUCACCCGGCACCCAAGACUGGGGACAAGACAGAGCGCAAGCCCCGAGGUCCGUGGUGGACUCGGGGCCUGAGUGAGAGAGAAACCUCGUUGUUUUAAGUCACUUUGUUUUUGGAGUUAUUACUCCAACUCAUCCAGCCUGUCCUGAUGGACAGAGACAUCCACAUGGGUUUAGAUGCUCUGGAGAAUGGUCAGAUGAUGGCGUCUGCAAUCAGGAGUAGGGAGUUAGGUAUUUUAGAGAUUUAUUUUACAGUUUGGUCUGGGAAAUACUUCCAUUUUCCAAACUGAAAUGAAGAGAAGCUAACUGGAAGUUGAGAAAAUUGUUCUUUAAAUAACGUAUAUCGGGCCGGCCCCAUGGCCCAGUGGGUAAGUUCACGCGCUCCACUUUGGCGGCCUGGAGUUUCACUGGUUCAGAUCCUGGGUGCAGACAUGGCACCACUCAUCAGGCCACGCUGAGGUGGCAUCCCACACAGCACAACCAGAGGGACCUACAACCAGAAUCUACAACUACAUACUGGGGAAGGCUUCAGGGAGAAGAAGAAGAAGAAGAAGAAAAAAAAAGACUGGCAAUAGAUGUUAGUUCAGGUGCCAAUCUUUAAAAUAAAUAAAUAAAUAACAUCUAUUUCACUAGCUGCAUGGGAAUGGCUUGUUCAUAAAAUCCUCGAAUGCUCAGUGCCUUCUGAAUGCCUUUCUCAUCAGCAGCCCCCCAGCUUUAGAAUGCUAUUGACCUCUCUAUCAGUGGCCUGCUUUGAAAAAAAUUCUAUAUCAAAAUCUAUCUAUAUAUCUGCAUCUGUAUCUACACAUACGCCUCUCUCUGUCUCUCUCUAACUGUAUCUGCAUCUAUAUAUCUGUAUUUGCAGCCAUACCCGUACCCACCCAUCUACAAACUGCGUCUGUGGGUGUUGGUUAUUUCCAUUUAUCCUUAGACAAGUCGUCCAUACUAAACUCUGGUGCUGCCUGAGGCCAUUGGGAUGCCUGGAAAGUCUAACCGUGGCUCAGCCCUAUGUAGAAAGUUCGCAGCAGGUCAGAAUUCACAGCCAGCCCCGGUUAAGCUUCUGAUUCGGCCUUGAACAUCCCAACAGCAAAGUCUUACGGCAUGUGGCAAACUCGAGUCGGGGAUUCGGGAGGAAACAUUGCACAGGUGGUCCCGCCCGAUUAGGACUUCUGGUGCCGCGGUUAUGAUCUGGACCUUGGGGCAAUUCCAGGUGAAGAGCUCUGCACCCCCAAGGGCCUGAGCUGGGCCUGUGCUCACAGUAGACGCGGCAGCCACGUUAACGGGGACUUAACCCAGGGUGCACGUGUGCUGGCCUGGGCUCCACUCGCACCUCCACAAGGGCCCCUCGAGGAGCCUGCCCACGUCACUGGCUCUCAAGUGGCCGAGCCUCCAGAGCUGCGUGCGUCCCAGCCCCUCAGUGCCACCUCCCUGGGCGCCCAGCUCCUUCCUCCUGCUCAUUUCUGCUUCUCCGAGGAGCCUUGUUUGGUUCUCCACGCAGAGGUAAGCUGUUACGAAAUUUAUUUAAGCUUAUGUACAUGCUAUUUCUAAAAAGAAACCAUAGCAUCCCUCCCACUUUCUACAGGAAACGUUUUUUGGGAAAGCUAACAUUGCCUCUGCCCCUUUCCACUGUGCGCAGCAGAUGCUCUGACGGUGACCGUGACCAGCUGGCCCUGCUGAGCCUCGCCUGGGGGCUGGGGGCUCUCGUGCGUUCUUUCUCAGUGAGUCUCACGGUAACCCUCAGAGAUGGUCCUCGUCCCAUUUGCCACGCGGGAAAACAGAAGUGCAGAGUGUGAACAGCCUGCUCAGCAUCUCACGAGGCGUAAGGACCGAGCUAGGAGGCAGCCUAGUUUAUCUGACUCCAAACUGUCCAUAGCAUGGCUGAUGGUGCUUGAAGCAGAAGUCGAGGGUGGCAGAGCAGAGGCUCUUCGCACCAUGUGUCCCAGCACAGUCCCUGGAAGACCGGGGCCACUGGGCACCUAACUGCAUCUGAAAGACUUAGCUGAAUCCUCACCUGUUAUGAUUCACAGUGAGCAACGCCAAACAACCUCACUGCAUGUGGGAAGUCGAAUUUGUAGGGUGUUUGUUAAAAGGCGACAGCUGGUCUCCAGCCCCUGCUCCCUGUCUUUCUCAUGAAAACAAAACCAAAAGGGGCAUCCAAACACCCUUUCAAUAUGGUGGGGGCCUAUGCUGGGCUUCUAGCCAUGGCUUCUCCAAGCAUCUUAUCACACCCUCCUGAACGCCUCUCUAGCCUCUCCCUCUGCCCCAGGGCAUUUGCACUUGCCAGGUGGGACAGCCUGCCUUAACCACGCAGCAGCUGCCAACGCAGAGCCAGGACCUAACCACAAAACCCUGCCACUCACCACCAAUUAGCUCUGUUUUCUGUAUAAACACUGCUACUUGAAGAAAAAUAUAGCCUCCCAAAGUGCAAAACUCUUUUCCUCUCCCCCCUUGCCCCCAACAGGUGAGAGAUGCUGGGUGUCCUUGCUCUGCCUGAAAAACGGUGGGACUUGCUACUUUCUUUCUCGCAAUUGCCUCUUCACCAAGGCCACCAGGAGCCCAGCUGCUGAGUCAGGGCCUAGGCUUGAUUCUCCAGAGGCAGAAGGCAGGGAAUGAAUGAGGACAAUGAUCCUAUUCUCUACGCUCUUUCUGGCUGACUUUUUUUGUGGUGGUGGCUGGAGUCUGUGACAACAGUCUGCAAACAGCACAUGUUGGCAUGUUUCACGUUGGCUGCCUCCUCCCAUCGUGAGUGCCCAGCCCUUGCGCUUUCUUUGUUGAAAAGGAAAAAAAGAUCAUACUUAAGCAAAAGUAAACCACAGCCUGAUCCUGUGCCAACAACAUUAACCAACUUCUCGUCAGCGCCUUUGAAGUCAGCGGGGGGCGACAUGCUUGUGGUGCAAGGAAAGAAUGAUACUUUAAGCGAUUCCUUUUCAUCCCUUUAACUUAAUGAAAGAUUAAUGGCCUUGUUAUUUUUGUUUCUGCUCCAUUUUUCCCCCCUUUUUUUCUUCCCCCCCCUUGUUGAAAUUGAAAAUCCUGCCCUACAAUGGUUUUCUGGAUCAUUGGGUUUUGUGAAUACAACUCCUACCCCUUCACCACCAUCUGCGAGCUGGACCACCUACUCAAGUCCAAAACAUCCAGGUGUCCGCGGAGGAGGAGCUCGUGGUGAACAGGCGGAUGGUGGCGGCACAGAACUGGAUCUUAUUCAAACAAACCUCCUUGGAAACAGGCUGGAAUACCUUGGCAGCGAAUUCUUUUCUUUCCCUGGAAGACUCGGUGUUGUGUUUGCUGGCACCCUCUUGGGAGGCCUGCCGUGGAUGAUCAGGAGGUGAUGGCACAUCACGGGCCCAGUGAAGUGUGCUGG
rnacentral:lncRNA from 1 species